rnacentral:rRNA from 1 species
AAUCCUAGAAAAGCCGGUCUCAGUUCGGAUUGUAGGCUGCAACUCGCCUACAUGAAGUCGGAAUUGCUAGUAAUCGCGGAUCAGCAUGCCGCGGUGAAUACGUUCCCGGGUCUUGUACACACCGCCCGUCACACCACGAGAGUUUACAACACCCGAAGUCGGUGGGGUAACCCGCAAGGGAGCCAGCCGCCGAAGGUGGGGUAGAUGAUUGGGGUGAAGUCGUAACAAGGUAGCCGUAUCGGAAGG